rnacentral:rRNA from 1 species
AUGAACGCUGGCGGCGUGUUUAAGGCAUGCAAGUUGAGCGACGUGCUUCCCGCAAGGGAAGUUACGAGCGGCAAACGGGUGAGUAACACACUGGUAACCUACCUUGAAGUCGGAGAUAGCUCGCCGAAAGGCGGAUUAAUAUCCGAUGGACAUGCGGGGGCAUAAGCCAUUCGCAUGUAAAGAUUUAUCGCUUCAAGAGGGGCCUAUGUCUGAUUAGCUAGUUGGCGGGGUAAUGGCCCACCAAGGCUCUGAUCAGUAGCAGGCGUGAGAGCGCGACCUGCCUCACUGGGACUGAGACACUGCCCAGACUCCUACGGGAGGCUGCAGUCGAGAAUCUUCCCCAAUGGGCGAAAGCCUGAGGGAGCGACGCCGCGUGUAGGAUGAAGGUCUUCGGAUUGUAAACUACUUUUAUAGGGGACGAAUUCGUGACGGUACCCUAUGAAUAAGAGGUUGCUAACUCUGU